AUGGUCAUUUGGCAUGACAUUCUAUUUGCUGUAGAUUCGGUAAGCAGGAAGUUGCAAUCACCGUCCAUGUGCAUUGAGACUGCCUUAAAGAAAAUAGAUGGUAUGAGGACUUAUUUUGACACUUAUAGAGAUGAAGGGUUUGAUUCUAGUGUGAUCAUUGCCAAAGAAAUUGCAACUGAAAUGGGUGUAGAACCAUCAUUUCCAGUAAAGCGCCGUGUUUCUAGGAAGAAACAAUUUGAUGAAGAUGACAGUGAUGAAGCGAUAUUGGAAGCUGAGAAGGAUUUUAAAGUCAAUUAUUUCUUGAUUAUGGUUGAUAAGGCGGCCACCUCACUGAAAAUUAGGUUUGACGAACUUGAGUCAUUCAAAAAUAUAUUUGGAUUUUUAAUGAGUUCAACGGCCUUGAAGUCAUUGGACCGCUCUGAACUUAAAGAUAGUUGCACAAAAUUUGCAAGUGCUUUCUCUUCGGGUGGUUCAUCUGAUGUUGAUUUAAAUGAUCUGAUUUCUGAGUUAAUUGUUAUGCAGUCAACUUUGCCCGAUAGAACAAUGUCUGCUAUGGAGAUUUUUGAGUUUGUGAGGGAAGCAGAUUGUUAUCCAAAUAUUGCUAUUGCAUACCGGAUUUUCUUUACUAUGCCUGUUACUGUGGCAUCAGCUGAAAGAAGUUUUUCGAAGUUGAAAUUGUUGAAGAACUACUUGAGAUCUACAAUGUCACAAGAGAGGUUAAAUGGCUUGGCAACUUUAUGCAUCGAGAAAAAAUUGCUUGAUGAAAUUGAUAUUGAUACUAUCGUUAGUGAUUUUGCAUCUCAGAAUGUUAGUAGAAAAUUUUGA
rnacentral:rRNA from 1 species